rnacentral:lncRNA from 1 species
UGCAAGAUUAUUAUGCUUUAGUAUGCCAGUGAGUUUAGGGUUUGUCAGUUUUUUUUGUUAUUUUAUUUUUAAAUGUAUUAGAAUUAGAUGCUAGGUCACUAAAUUCUGUCAAACCACCAGUGAAUUUCGAAUUUGGGUGUUUUUUCAUGUAUAAGUUGGUUUGGGUUAGGCUAUGAUUAGAAGGGUAUUGAAACUAUGAAACUAUAUGCUAAUGAUAAGGAUGAUAGGCUGUUUUCCAAUGCAGAAGACAUGAAGAUUAGUCUAAGACUGUGUAUUAUUAGUUGGACAGACAUUUCAUUGAUUGAUUUGUUUUUAUUUAGAUUCACUAAACCUUCCCUUUAAGGUAACAAUAUCGAGACCAAUUUAGUAAACAUGAUUGAAAAAAUAGAGGUUGACAGUUUAUGAAUACAUUACAGGUAGUGUACCGUACCG